CUACGGGCCGCUGCAGUGAGGAAUAUUGCACAAUGGGGGGAACCCUGAUGCAGCAACGCCGCGUGGAGGAUGACGCAUUUCGGUGUGUAAACUCCUUUUAUAUGUCAAGAAAAUGACGGUAGCAUAUGAAUAAGCACCGGCUAACUCCGUGCCAGCAGCCGCGGUAAUACGGAGGGUGCAAGCGUUACUCGGAAUCACUGGGCGUAAAGGACGCGUAGGCGGGUUGGAAAGUCAGGUGUGAAAUCCUACAGCUUAACUGUAGAACUGCACUUGAAACUUCUAAUCUAGAGUAUGGGGGAGGGAGAUGGAAUUAGUGGUGUAGGGGUAAAAUCCGUAGAUAUCACUAGGAAUACCUAAAGCGAAGGCGAUCUCCUGGAACAUUACUGACGCUAAGGCGUGAAAGCGUGGGGAGCAAACAGGAUUAGAUACCCGGGUAGUC
rnacentral:rRNA from 1 species